ACUGUAUGGACCCCACAGAGGACGGCUGUGUGAAAGCACUGAAACACACAAGCUGUCAACCAGGACAAUACAUCAGACAAAAAGGAACAGCUCUCAGGGACACUGAGUGCACUGACUGCAGUGAUGGAACAUUUUCAGAUGGGACAUUUACAUCUUGUCAACCACACACAAUGUGAAUCACGAAAUGCAGAAAAUGCAGACAUCCCCAUAGAGGAAACUGGAGAGGAAACACCAGAGAUGCUAAACAGAUGUCAAACAGUAUCAGGAACAUCUCCCACUGCAGAGUAAAUGUGAUCUAGAAUCCAGUUUACAAUCGGGCCUUGGAUGGGUGGAGCCGAUGUCAUUCGAGUACUAACUGGGAACACCAGGCCAGUGCCCCAGAAAGCAUUUAAACUCGCCUGCCCUGAUUCCACUCUCUCUCUGAUCCCUUCUCCACUCACCACGCUGUGGUUGUUUUUUGCGUUGCCUUUUUGGUUUUGUUUUGCACUGACAACACGCACCUCACAUUAUACAACACAUCCGCACACUUUCAACCACCACUGACACUGACUUCCACACCCCAUUGCAAUUAUUGUUAUUUACUUUAAUAAACUUUAGUUUAUUAUUGCGGAGUUUGGGUGUGCGUCUCCCUCCUUUGUUGUGGCCUGCGAGCCGGUCAUAACACUGACUAACAAAUACAACCUGGUCCAUCAGCUGUGAGGGCGAUCAUUUGGACAUGUGUUGGACUUUCUUAUCUCGAAGGGAAGAAGGAGCUUAAUACCAUUAUCGGCCGCUGGAACGCACUUCAGCAGGUGUGCUGCUGCUUAGAAACAUGGACCAACGUCUCAACAUCGUCCUUCUUGGAAACACAGGAGUUGGGAAAAGCGCUUCAGCAAACACCAUUUUAGGAUUGAAAGCCUUUAAAUCACAGCGGGCCUUCAAAUCAGUGACAAAGCAAUGCUCUGAAGCAGCUGGAAAUGUGUGCGGGAGACAGAUCUCAGUGAUCGAGACUCCAGGAAUAUCAUGUGCUGGUGAUGAAGAACAAAUUAAAAACAGCUGUCAGGAUGUCCUGCAGUCCGCCAGACCUUGUCUGUUUCUGGUAGUGAUUAAAAUCGAUCGAUUCACAGAUGAGCAAAAGCCGUGGAGGCAGCUGUCAGAGUCCUCGGGGAUCAGGGGUUGAAAAAGACUUAUAUGCUCACGUGAGGAAAUGCUUUAGAAGAAACGUCCCUAGAUGAGUUCAUCAAUGAUGAUAAUGAAAGUUUACUUCCAAACUUUGUUUCAGGAUUUAAGAUAUCAUCUAUUCAGCAAUGACAAUGGAGGACAGGACCAAAUCGAAGAGCUGCUGACAAAGUCAAGUCACCUAAGAACCCUGCAACAAGCUCCAGUGAUUGGUUGAUGCUCCAAGAACCAGAACCAGAACUGAUCCAGGACAAACU